CAGUAGCCGCGGGAAUACGAAGGGGGCUAGCGUUGUUCGGAAUUACUGGGCGUAAAGGGCGCGUAGGCGGCCAUUCAAGUUAGAUGUGAAAGCCCUGGGCUCAACCUAGGAAUUGCAUUUGAUACUGUUUGGCUUGAGUUCGGGAGAGGUGAGUGGAAUUCCCAGUGUAGAGGUGAAAUUCGUAGAUAUUGGGAAGAACACCAGUGGCGAAGGCGGCUCACUGGACCGACACUGACGCUGAGGCGCGAAAGCGUGGGGAGCAAACAGGAUUAGAUACCCCAGUAGUCCCUGUCUCUUAUAA
rnacentral:rRNA from 1 species